rnacentral:rRNA from 1 species
UACGGAGGGGGCUAGCGUUGUUCGGAAUUACGGGGCGUAAAGCGCACGUAGGCGGCUUUGUAAGUUAGAGGUGAAAGCCCGGGGCUCAACCCCGGAAUUGCCUUUAAGACUGCAUCGCUAGAAUUGUGGAGAGGUAAGUGGAAUUCCGAGUGUAGAGGUGAAAUUCGUAGAUAUUCGCAAGAACACCAGUGGCGAAGGCGGCUCACUGGCCCGGUACUGACGCUGAGGUGCGAAAGCGUGGGGAGCAAACAGG